AUUGAACGCUGGCGGCAGGCCUAACACAUGCAAGUCGAGCGGUAGAGAGGUGCUUGCAUCUCUUGAGAGCGGCGGACGGGUGAGUAAUGCCUAGGAAUCUGCCUGGUGGUGGGGGAUAACGUUCGGAAACGGACGCUAAUACCGCAUACGUCCUACGGGAGAAAGCGGGGGAUCUUCGGACCUCGCGCCAUUAGAUGAGCCUAGGUCGGAUUAGCUAGUUGGUGAGGUAAUGGCUCACCAAGGCGACGAUCCGUAACUGGUCUGAGAGGACGACCAGCCACACUGGGACUGAGACACGGCCCAGACUCCUACGGGAGGCAGCAGUGGGGAAUUUUGGACAAUGGGCGCAAGCCUGAUCCAGCAAUGCCGCGUGCAGGAUGAAGGCCUUGGUUGUAACUGCUUUGUAC
rnacentral:rRNA from 1 species